GAUGAACGCUGGCGGCGUGCCUAAUACAUGCAAGUCGGGCGAACAGACGAGGAGCUUGCUCCUCUGACGUUAGCGGCGGACGGGUGAGUAACACGUGGAUAACCUACCUAUAAGACUGGGAUAACUUCGGGAAACCGGAGCUAAUACCGGAUAAUAUAUUGAACCGCAUGGUUCAAUAGUGAAAGACGGUUUUGCUGUCACUUAUAGAUGGAUCCGCGCCGCAUUAGCUAGUUGGUAAGGUAACGGCUUACCAAGGCAACGAUGCGUAGCCGACCUGAGAGGGUGAUCGGCCACACUGGAACUGAGACACGGUCCAGACUCCUACGGGAGGCAGCAGUAGGGAAUCUUCCGCAAUGGGCGAAAGCCUGACGGAGCAACGCCGCGUGAGUGAUGAAGGUCUUCGGAUCGUAAAACUCUGUUAUUAGGGAAGAACAAAUGUGUAAGUAACUAUGCACGUCUUGACGGUACCUAAUCAGAAAGCUAUGGCUAACUACGUG
rnacentral:rRNA from 1 species